GAGUUUACAACUCCCAAACCCAAUGUGAACCAUACCAAACUGUUGCCUCGGCGGGGUCACGCCCCGGGUGCGUCGCAGCCCCGGAACCAGGCGCCCGCCGGAGGGACCAACCAAACUCUUUUCUGUAGUCCCCUCGCGGACGUUAUUUCUUACAGCUCUGAGCAAAAAUUCAAAAUGAAUCAAAACUUUCAACAACGGAUCUCUUGGUUCUGGCAUCGAUGAAGAACGCAGCGAAAUGCGAUAAGUAAUGUGAAUUGCAGAAUUCAGUGAAUCAUCGAAUCUUUGAACGCACAUUGCGCCCGCCAGUAUUCUGGCGGGCAUGCCUGUCCGAGCGUCAUUUCAACCCUCGAACCCCUCCGGGGGGUCGGCGUUGGGGACUUUCGGGAGCCCCUCAGACGGGAUCCCGGCCCCGAAAUACAGUGGCGGUCUCGCCGCAGCCUCUCCUGCGCAGUAGUUUGCACAACUCGCACCGGGAGCGCGGCGCGUCCACGUCCGUAAAACACCCAACUUUCUGAAAUGUUGACCUCGGAUCAGGUAGGAAUACCCGCUGAACUUAAGCAUAUAUUAAGGCGGGAGGAA
rnacentral:rRNA from 1 species